GGGCUCGGACCUCGGCCGGAGGCCCCGCCCGCCAGUUGGUCGCCUCCUGCAGCACCCUGGAGGCCCAGGGACGGCGGGGUGGCGGCUCGGGGGAUCCCGGGCUUGGCCUACACCUGGGACAAUGAGCAGGAACCCAGAAUCUAAGGAACACCACCUCUCUGCAAGCAGAGAAACGGUGUGGCAAAGAAUUACUCAGGGCAAAUAACUAAAUGAUCCAAAGAAAAGUGAACCUGAAAUUCUUCCACAACAACAGUAGCAGAUGAUUAAAAACCAAGCUGAGAAGAGUUAAUCUGACAGAGUAACUGGGGAGCAGGAAGUAAAUGCGGGGGUGUUCCUAGAGUGCUGGAGAAAGAAUCCCCAGAGUAAGGUGGGUUCAAACAUGGAGCAAGUAACCUGCAACAUCCAUGGGAGAGGGACAGGGACCUGUCACAAUUGGUCUUUCGCCUGCUCAUCAAGAAUGAACUAUGUCAACACUCCUGCUUGAGUCGCAAAGCAGGACAUGACCUAAGCUUGUCCAAGGGACAAGGCGGACUAUAACACUGAAAGAUUUCUUCCUUCAAGAAAACCUCAAUUCUCAAUCAAUAAGGGAAUGGAACCUCGCUGGAUGCAGUACAAAAGUCUUUCAGAUCUCCCUCCUGCUAGAGAUUGUAGGAAUCAGUCAAUCGGGUUCCAAGAACUAUCUGCAAGAACGGGUCACCCAUCAGUAAAGCUAGAUCAUAACCCUGCUCUCUCAUGUACACUUCUGAAAAGGAUUGAGUUGCUAUGAGAAAAGAGGCCUGAGAGCCAUAGGGUACGUGGGUUCCAAGGAAGGAAGCCAGGAAAGUCCCCGCCCGCUCCGGCCAAGGGUACCGCGGACUGACGGAAGGCAGGCAAGGGCGGGGCCCCGUCUUAGGAAAUACGCCCAACGAAGGAGCAGAGGGGCUGGGUCACGCAACAGGACAGCCACCGGCUACUUCUUGUUUGCCAGACACCAGCGCCAGGCCCUGCCCGUCUCCUAAACUGGGGGGUCUCAGGCUCCACAGCGCCCCCCGGCCGCCCUCCUGCACUCCUCACCGUCUCCAUCGCAAGGGGCACCGGCCUUAUCCUUUCACUUUAGGAAGCUCGCUCAGGGCACGUCCCGCCCCAUGUCCGGUGCUGCGACGCCACUUCCGCCUACGUCACGGCAUAACGUAAGCCCAGACUGGAGGAGUCCACCCUUGCGCGGGUGGCCUUGCCUGGAUAACCACCCUCCCCCGGGUCCUCGGGACCUCACGUAUCCGGCUGACGGCGAGGGUCACGGAACGGAGCCGCUUAUAUUUAAAAUGUUCUUUUUUUAUUUGUCGUUUAAAAACAAACUUGGAAGAAGCAAAAUCCAAAACUUGCCCUUUGCCUCUCGCAACAUAAAUUAUGUACAGUUCAGAAUGAUCGCUGAUACAAAACAUGCCAAGGACAGGGGCGCUGGGGGUGGAGGGAGAGAGGGCGCUUUAAAAAAGGGGAACCAUUUCAUCCGUUGUUACGAAGGACCAACCUUGCUGUACAGGAUACACACAACACAAAAUAAAGUCUUCACGGGAUUCA